rnacentral:rRNA from 1 species
CCGGACGAAGACGCUAAGACGCGAAAUGAGACAUUCAAAGCUACUGAAAAUAGAUUUAAACGACCGCGAAGGCGAGUUAAAUACAAUUUUUAGAGAGUUUGAUCCUGGCUCAGGACGAACGCUGGCGGCGUGCCUAACACAUGCAAGUCAACGGGGAUUUGAGAGCUUGCUUUCAAAUCUUAGUGGCGGACGGGUGAGUAACGCGUGAGUAACCUGCCUCUCAGAGGGGGAUAACAUUCUGAAAAGAAUGCUAAUACCGCAUGACAUUCCUUUCUCGCAUGGGGAGGGAAUCAAAGGAGCAAUCCGCUGAGAGAUGGACUCGCGUCCGAUUAGCUAGUUGGCGGAGUAAAAGCCCACCAAGGCGACGAUCGGUAGCUGGUCUGAGAGGACGAUCAGCCACACUGGGACUGAGACACGGCCCAGACUCCUACGGGAGGCAGCAGUGGGGAAUUUUCCGCAAUGGGCGAAAGCCUGACGGAGCAAGACCGCGUGGGGGAAGAAGGCUCUUGGGUUGUAAACCCCUUUUCUCUGGGAAGAAAGUUG